AUGGAAGCGUCCAGGAGGUAUUUGGUGAGUUACCUUGAUUCCUUGGUUGGUCUUAAAAUUGAUCUAUCUUCUGAUCCGAGCAAAGGGAAGUCCUUAGUUACAUACGACAGGCCACUUAAAAAUCCACAUGUUCGAAUAGUUGAGAGCACUCCUGUCAAAUGGUGUCCCCCUAUGGCGGGUUGGGUGAAACUGAAUACUGAUGGGUCCUUUGCAGUAAAUGGUACGGCUGGUGCGGGGAAGGUGCUGCGAGAUGACAAAGGUAAUGUCAUCUACUCAGCUUGCAGGGAGCUUUUUUCAUGCCGAGAAAUUCUUGAAGCUGAGUUGUGUGCUUGCAUGGAAGGCCUGUCUUUUGCAAUUCAGAGAAGCGACUUGCCGAUCAUUAUUGAGAUGGACUCCAUUAUUGCAGUCAAGCUGAUUCAAGCGAUGGAUAUUGAUAGAUCGAUCUACUCUUCUUUAGUUAAAGAAAUUAGACACCUGAUGUCUCUUCGUGAUUCUUGUAUUACUCAUAUAAAUCGUACGCAAAAUAAGGUUAGCGAUAGCUUAGCAAAGUUUGCUAGACAAGAGGGCAGAACAAUGACCUGGGUUGGGUCAGGCCCAUCAGUUUCUUUAGAGCUAGCCGAGGCUGAUUGUAUGGACAUUGAGAUUUGA
rnacentral:rRNA from 1 species